GGACUACUCGGGUAUCUAAUCCUGUUUGAUCCCCACGCUUUCGUGCAUCAGCGUCAAUCAUACUUUAGUGAGCUGCCUUCGCAAUCGGGGUUCUGUGACAUAUCUAUGCAUUUCACCGCUACUUGUCACAUUCCGCCCACCUCAAGUACAUUCAAGCCCCACAGUUUCAAAGGCACUGCGAUAGUUGAGCUACCGUCUUUCACCUCUGACUUAUAAGGCCGCCUACGCACCCUUUAAACCCAAUAAAUCCGGAUAACGCUCGGAUCCUCCGUAUUACCGCGGCUGCUGGCAC
rnacentral:rRNA from 1 species